rnacentral:lncRNA from 1 species
AAAUAUUAUUGAAUCUCCUGCCAAACCUAUUAAGACUUCUCUAAACAGAUGCCUGCUCCUGAGAGGUUGAAAUUUGGGUUUUCACUUACCUCAUUAUUGCUGGGUCCCAAAAUUUCUUACAUGCAGGUCGUCUUAGGUGUUCCAUGCCAUCCUGAGCACUCAGGGGACCCCUUUCACUCCCGUCAUAAGGCCUGAUACUUCACCAAAUAAUAGUCUUUCCCACAGCAGUAAUUAGGAGCCACAUCAUUCUGGAAACAUGAAUGAAUUUAUUUGUGGGUAAAUUAGGGCAGAGCAACAGAUCUUCAAGAAUAGCUUUCAGGUGUUGGAGAAGUGCAUUUCCCUUUUACCCCUGAUGGGCUAACAAACCCCUUUCCCUUCCACCAGGCUGUCCUCCCUCUGCAUAUGGAAGUAAGUCCUGCUUCAAAGAGAAUAUGGGAUAAUGGAAUGAACCAGUGCUGAGCCCUCCUUUGUGUUACCUCGUUAUCACAGGUUUUUAUGCACCGCCACCAGAAAAGCGCGUACGGCUUCCUUCGGCGUUUCAGCUGUCACCGAGGGAAUGUCACUCUGCUUCUGCACAAGCACAGAAGUGAUGGAUGCUGCUCUGAGCGUCACCCCUCCUGCCUGCUGACCCACCCACCGCCUUGGUGCAACACCAACGCCUGGAGCAGAAUCAGUGAGAAGCUCUGAGUGACUCUGCCGGGCAAAUUCGCCUUCUUGGCAGCAGCACUAAGAUUUUUGGAGAGGAUAUUCAGCAAUCUUCAGUCACACCUGGACAUCCUCAAUGCCCUUACUGCUAGGGCAACCACGCUGCCAACAGCCACUGCCUUCGAGGUGGAGCUGAUGGACCUGGAGAAUUGUAUUUUGAUGGAGGAGAAGCCGCGGAACAAAGCUGCUGGGUGCUGUGAAGGUAAUGGGGUGGCCCUGCGAGUGCCGAGGUGUGUCAGCAGCCUUGGGGUUGGUGAGCUGAACUCCAGCCUCAUUUCAUGGGCCAGGAGGAGUCUCAGCUGUCUGUAGGCUGCAGAAAACCCUGCUCUCUGAGAGGACAGUGAAGGCAGCACUAGGAGUUUGUUUUCUAAUAUUCUUAAUUUGGUGCAUAUUUAGAGAGCUGAAUUACUCGUAAUUUAAAUCAAAAUCAAACAUUCAUUUGAUGUUGCUUUUUAAUUGUAUUUGAAUUGCAAAAUGCCCCAUGAUACGCUUUGUUAAGAAUACUGUGCAUUAGUAUUAAUAUUGUUGUUAGCAACAAUAACGAUCAAAGCUUGUUUCUCAAAAUAGUGAUGCACACUGUGUUAUUCAGACACAAAUAUAUAAUUGCACGUGUAGAUACAUGCUCAGACUGCAGUGCAUGAUAUUACUUGCCCCUGACAUUUCCAGAAAGACAUAAGUAAAAUAUGAAUGGUAGCUGUGAAACCCUUACAUCUUUAUGAUGCUUUGGGAAAGAGCAAAAAUACAAAUGCAUUCACAAAAGUUUACAUUUCAGAGUAAAUUGAAAUGAAGUAAUUUGCAAUCCUCCUCAUCACAUUCGCAAGGUGGGAAAAGAUCAUAUUCGCACACACAUAUAUAUAUAAAAAUUAAAAAAUAUACGUGAUCCCUUCUAGUGGGAUGUAGAGCAAGAAAAGCCUCAUGAGGAUCAAUAUUCUAUGUGAGCAAAUUGAUGCAUAUGAACAGAGAAGCUGCUCAUUUUCAGGUCUCCUAGGGGAACAAGUUUUAGAUAAUUAUAU